CUAAGCCACCUAGCUUCAAAUCAUUUUGUCACGCUCCAUCCAAAAAAAAAAAAAAAUCAUUUUAUCAUGUGUUAAAACCAAAAUAAAGAAAGAACUUUGAAUAGUGGGUAAAGCAGUACUUCGCUUGCUUGUUACACACACACGUAUAUAUAUAUUAUAUAUCCGUUACUUGCCUAGCUUUCAAUAAAUAUAUUGGAGUCGUACUUCAACAGCGCUAGCUAGUACUACUGCAACUAACUGUCGCAAGCAAUACAAUAAGGAUAAUGAUACGUUUACACCCCUGUACCACUCAUUUACCACCCAUUCCACGUGUCUUGUUUAUUUUUUUUUUUCAACUCUGUUGCUGCCGGUUACUUUUUAUAAAUUUUCUCUUUGUAAUGAUGUGAUUUUCUUGCUUGUGUCAGACUACUUCUGCCGUAUAGAAUAAAAUUUCAUUUUGAAAUUCAAAUCUCCCACGGUUUAUUUUCAUUUUCGUUGGGCUCUCACUAACGCAGGCUGAGAACGAACAUCCCAGCGUCCUCUCCCCUUCAAGUCGCGACUCUUGCGGUGUGGCCAUCAGACAACAGCGCCUUCAAAGGUCAAUAAAGGAGAUAGAAGGAAGAGGACAUCAAGUACAAAUUCAUAAUGAAGCACACAAAAUGAAGUCCAAACCAUCUUUGAUAUUUUGCUGGUUUUUUGUCAAAAAUAUCGUAUAUGAUGUUGGACUUUGAUUACUAGUGGCUAUAUGGCCUUGUUAUCCAAGUUCCUUAGUGACGCCUGUAUGGCUUUGUUUUUUUAGCUUGAUGUGUGUCUCACUGACAAAAGUAGUAUUUAUUCUCUUGUUCUGUUUUUUUGCCCUGACAGUUUCUCUUUGAUGCCAAAUUCAAUAUGUAUGGUAUUUGACAAAAAUGAGAUGAGGAUUAUGCUUAUUGUA